rnacentral:rRNA from 1 species
GAUGAACGCUGGCGGCGUGCUUAACACAUGCAAGUCGAACGGAAAGGCUCCUGCUUGCAGGGGUACUCGAGUGGCGAACGGGUGAGUAACACGUGGGUGAUCUGCCCUGCACUUCGGGAUAAGCCUGGGAAACUGGGUCUAAUACCGGAUAGGACGAUGGUUUGGAUGCCAUUGUGGAAAGUUUUUCGGUGUGGGUUGAGCUCGCUGCCUAUCAGCUUGUUGGUGGGGUAAUGGCCUACCAAGGCGUCGGCGGGUAGCCGGACUGAGAGGGUGUACGGCCACAUUGGGAAUGAGAUACGGCACAGACACAUAAGGGAGGAAGCAGUGGGGAAUAUUGAAAAAUGGGAGCAAGCCUGAUGCAGAGAAGCCGGGUGGGGGAUGACGGGCUUAGGGUUGUAAAAUACUUUCGCUAGGGACGAAGCGUUUUGUGACGGUACCUGGAGAAGAAGCACCGGCUAACUACGUG